GAAAAACAGAUGGGGGUUC
rnacentral:misc_RNA from 1 species